CAGUCGCCACGGGAAUACGGAGGGUGCAAGCGUUAAUCGGAAUUACUGGGCGUAAAGCGCACGCAGGCGGUUUGUUAAGUCAGAUGUGAAAUCCCCGAGCUUAACUUGGGAACUGCAUUUGAAACUGGCAAGCUAGAGUCUUGUAGAGGGGGGUAGAAUUCCAGGUGUAGCGGUGAAAUGCGUAGAGAUCUGGAGGAAUACCGGUGGCGAAGGCGGCCCCCUGGACAAAGACUGACGCUCAGGUGCGAAAGCGUGGGGAGCAAACAGGAUUAGAUACCCCGGUAGUCCCUGUCUCUUAUAC
rnacentral:rRNA from 1 species